rnacentral:rRNA from 1 species
AUUGAACGCUGGCGGCAGGCCUAACACAUGCAAGUCGAACGAGUGGCGGACGGGUGAGUAAUGUCUGGGAAACUGCCCGAUGGAGGGGGAUAACUACUGGAAACAGUAGCUAAUACCGCAUACCAUCGGAUGUGCCCAGAGGGGCUUAGCUAGUAGGUGGGGUAACGGCUCACCUAGGCGACGAUCCCUAGCUGGUCUGAGAGGUGGACCAGCAACACGGGAACUGGGCCACGGCCCAGACUCCUACGGGAGGAAGCAGUGGGGAAUAUUGCACAAUGGGCGCAAGCCUGAGGCAGCCAUGCCGGGUGUAUGAAGAAGGCCUUCGGGUUGUAAAGUACUUUCAGCGGGGAGGCGUUACUCGCAGAAGAAGCACCGGCUAACUCCGUGCCAGCAGCCGCGGUAAUAC